rnacentral:misc_RNA from 1 species
GUGAAUCAUCGAAUCUUUGAACGCAAAUUGCACUCUCCUCGGAGAGUAUGCCUGUUUGAGGGUCAGCCUGUAAAAAAUCGACAUCGUUGCUGUUUCGCGGUGGCGUUCGUCGGAAAUGGGGUCAUCUUAACUCCUUUUGAUGUAAGCGACUUGAAAUUGGCUUUUUUUUGCAUGAACGUUUCUAAGAUCUAUUUCUUUGGACGUUUAGGGG